UGGGGGAUGCAUGAUCGUCUGGCUUUACUGGGGUUCCACUGACCUAAUUGGAACCCUAUUAAUCCCGUUUCUUCAAAACAGUUUUCAUUAUAAUUCCCAAGAAUAGUGCAACCAAUUUUCCCCGGUCUCCCAGGAGUGUUUAAUAAGGCGUAAGUUUCGGUGGCCCCUUAACACCCCCAACAACCCAGCCUCCAGAAAAUACACAAAAUUCCACUUACGUUGUCUCCAUAUAACAACUCGUGUUGUCAUCGGGAGGACUGACCAAGCAAACUGCUGGUAUCCUGAAGAGAAGACGUACAGUGAGGUUGUAGCAAUGGGAGGUCCAACACGUCAGCAAGUUCUGCAGCUAUACAAGGCACUGCUCACCUAUGGCAAAACAUUGGAGCUGACUGAUCAGGAGUACUUUCGGAGACGAAUAAGACAAGAAUUCGAACAAAACAAAGAUAUCGUUCUGCCUCAAAAAAUUGAAUUUUAUUUUGAGAAGGGUUUAAGUUUCUUGUCAAAGCAAACGACUUACUUAAUUUUAGUUUUUCUUGCCCUCUGAUAUUUAUUGUACAGUAUAGUGUUGCAGUGUAUGACCCUUGUAGGUUUAGUGCUUCUUUUUGAUAAUCAACAGUACAUGUAUAGUAUAAUGACAUGAACUAUAUGUGCCAUCUGUGUUUUUUCUCGUAUUUUACUUGGCUUAACAUUAUAUGUUCAUGUAUAUUGAUGCUUGUACAUCAUUACAUAUAGUGCAGAGUUAUGCACAAGUUCAAAAUACAGAUUAUACAAAUUCUUAAAAA